rnacentral:rRNA from 1 species
UACAGAGGUGGCAAGCGUUGUUCGGAAUUACUGGGCGUAAAGGGCGCGUAGGCGGCCUUCUAAGUCAGACGUGAAAUCCCCCGGCUUAACCUGGGAACUGCGUCUGAUACUGGAAGGCUUGAGUGCGGGAGAGGGAUGUGGAAUUCCAGGUGUAGCGGUGAAAUGCGUAGAUAUCUGGAGGAACACCGGUGGCGAAGGCGGCAUCCUGGACCGGCAUUGACGCUGAGGAGCGAAAGCCAGGGGAGCAAACGGG